AAGAGGAAGAAGAGUGACUAGAGAAGAUUGAAACCUCAAUUCAGUAGGUUUUCAGUUUCUUUUGGUUAAUUUCGUGCAUGCUCAGCAAAUUUUGGGACAGGUUAUUAGGUUUUUGUUAUGGGUUGAUUUUUCGUUCUUAGAUUGUGAAUUGGUUUUUGAUUCCUUCUUGAUAUUUAAAGAACACUCUCAUCUUGUUCUAUAGCCGCUGGAAUCGUUGGAAACUGUCGAGAACUCGACAUGCUAUGGAAUUUUGAAAUUUGCUAUGCAUAAUGAUAAUUUGUCCUGUUUUGACAAAUUUUUCUCAUCGAUGUACUGAUCAUGUUAUUUUUUGAUAAUUUUACUGUAGAUGCCUCUGUGAUUUUAGUGUAUGCUGUAAAAAUUUCAGAAUUUUUUGAGUAGUAUGGAAAAAGAUAAAAAUCAUGAACCGAGCUGCUGUCAGAUUCGCGUUUGGGCAGACAGCACAAACAUGUUUUGAGAAAACGGACAUAUCUCCUAGCUUGGGUAUCGUUUUUACGCACCUUUUCUUGAUUAUGAAACUAGACUUACAUAUCUUUCUGAAUAUGUAAGGUUUGUGCCUUAGUUCCUUCUAGGAAAAAACAAUUUUUGCUCCGAAGUUGAUGGUUCGUUAUUCUGAAAAUCUGGACUGGUUUUGGAGCUAUGUUCUUCAUCAGUUUUGUCAUAGUUAAAUGUACUUACUGACUAUGGGUUCUCAUGAGUCUUAAACAUUGAUCAAUUGGUGAUGUUUUAGUGUUGGAAUUAUUGGAAAAGAUUGAGUAUGUGAUUUUUAAUGAGCCUUCGAUCGCAGACUGUUCUGCUCAAACUGUGACUUCUGAUGAAGAUGUGUAACUUCAGUUGAGCGUAUCUUGGUCAUUCGAACUCUGUUUAGGGCAAAUUUUAUAUCGAGAUUGAUGUUCUGAGAGUGUACUUUCUAAUGGCUAUAGUCUCAGAAUCUAACUCUAAACCUAUAGAAUACUAUAGUCAGAAUCCGAUCAGUGGUUCUGUUAGAUAAUGUGUGAAUUUGUGAAAUUCUUGAUUUUAGGUACGAAUUGGUGAAUUUACUUUUGUUCGGCAUUUGCUAUAUAGUUGAAUUGAUGCAGAACAUUGUUAAUGCAUUUGCUAAAGCCUUUCAAGUAUUUCUAUACUAAAAUGUUUGGCUUGUAGAUAGAUGACGAGUCGGUGAAUCAAGGAGCACCGAAAUCAUAAGUUGUUCUUUCUUUUGGAUUACAAGUUUUGCAGGCGUUGUAGAUAUCCACUGCUAAUCGUUGUGUGGUUGUACCCUCGCUUAGGGUAGCAUGUCGGGAAGACUGGACUAGUUUUGGUGAAAUAUUGUAGAUAAGGAUGUAGUUGCAGCCUAUGUUUAUAUUUAGUUCAUUGUAUAAUUUAAUGCUUUCUUGAGACUUCCAUUGUGUUUGUAAGAAUGAUAUAUUUUGCGUUAUCAAUAAAAUGGCCGUUGGUUAACUUAA